GGCCUAUAUUGGCACUGGCAGAAUGGGUAGUAACGCGUGGGUAACGUACCCCGAAGUCGAGUAUAACCUUGGGAAACCCUGGCUAAUACUCGAUAGUCUAGCUCGGCGACAGCCGAUCUAGUAAAGUUUUUCGCUUCGGGAGCGGCCUGCGUAGCAUCAGCUUGUUGGUGAGAUAAUAGCUCACCAAGGCUACGACGCUUAGGGGGGCUGAGAGGCUGGUCCCCACCAAUGGCACUGAAACACGGGCCAUACUCCUACGGGAGGCUGCAGUCGAGAAUCGUCCACAAUGCACGAAAGUGUGAUGGCGCGACGUCGCGUGGUGGAAGAGGCGCUUCGGCGUGUAAACACCUUUUCUGCGUGAGGAAGUUUAUUGACGUUAGCGCAGGUAAUAAGGGGCUCCCAAAUUCGUGCCAGCAGGAGCGGUAACACGAAUGCCCCAAGCGUUAUCCGGAAUCACUGGGCGUACAGGGUCCGCAGGCGGCCGUAUUAGUCCCGCGUUAAAUCGUGAUGCUCAACAUCACGGCUGCGCUGGAAACGGUACGGCUUGAGGAUGUGAGGGGUGUGCGGAACCGACGGUGUAGGGGUGAAAUCCGUUGAUAUCGUCGGGAACACCGAAAGCGAAAGCAGCACACUGGCGCAUUCCUGACGCUCAUGGACGAAAGCCAGGGUGGCGAACCGGAUUAGAUACCCGGGUAGUCCUGGCCGUNAACUUUGUUCACUAGCUUUGGGGAGUAUCGACCCUCUCCGAGG
rnacentral:rRNA from 1 species